rnacentral:rRNA from 1 species
AACAGAUUUACUUCGGUAAUGACGUUAGGAAAGCGAGCGGCGGAUGGGUGAGUAACACGUGGGGAAUCUGCCCCAUAGUCUGGGAUACCACUUGGAAACAGGUGCUAAUACCGGAUAAGAAAGCAGAUCGCAUGAUCAGCUUUUAAAAGGCGGCGUAAGCUGUCGCUAUGGGAUGGCCCCGCGGUGCAUUAGCUAGUUGGUAAGGUAAAGGCUUACCAAGGCGAUGAUGCAUAGCCGAGUUGAGAGACUGAUCGGCCACAUUGGGACUGAGACACGGCCCAAACUCCUACGGGAGGCAGCAGUAGGGAAUCUUCCACAAUGGACGCAAGUCUGAUGGAGCAACGCCGCGUGAGUGAAGAAGGUUUUCGGAUCGUAAAGCUCUGUUGUUGGUGAA